AGGCCCUGGAGAGACGCCUUUCCGUGCGGGCGAAAUGCUUCUGGACGGGACUUCGAGCAUUUUCUUGGCCGUGGUGCUUUUGGGACCCAUGGCUGCAGAAGUGCUUAUGGACCACGCUCAGGGAUGGGUUUGUUUUCCUGCUCACAGACCGUCUGCCGGCACCACUAUCUGUGGCACGUGGAACGUCUCAUCUACAGGAAUGGAGGUCCUCAGGAACAAUGGAGGAACUGCUCAUGAAUAUACAUGGACAAGUGGAUCUGUGCAGCACCAGCGUAGCCAUGGAAGUGCCCUGCUCGGAUAUUCCUUCAAGAGAUCCUGUUGGGGCUGGAGCACAACUGAUUGACAGCCUCCAGGUGCUGUGCUCUUAGAUCCACCAGAAUUUGUUCUAGGUCUCACUUCCCCUGGGAUGUUCCCAUCUAAUGAUAUGCAUCGCAGAGGUAUGAGAACCUUGCCCCUCCUGCCCAAUGGGAUAAUCUUCUAGAGGGUAAAUAUGGCUCCAGGAUCCCCCAUUGUCUUGGUCAAGAAUUUCUCCUAACUGUGCUGAGGUGUGAGGCAUUUUCUACCCAAUCCUUCCUUCUGUCUCUCCUUUCUCAUAUGUUCCACAUGCACUGAGUUCUGAAAGCUCUGUGUUCCUCUUGUUCCCCUUUAUCCUUUGAAGAUGUGUUGCCCCCACAAAUCUCUUGCAAGUCUCAUCCUGUCCUGGUAUCUUCUCCUUGGAAACAUUUGCACUGAUGUAGCAUGUUAUAUGAUGGUUUUGGACAAAAUAUUAUUUCUAGUUAUGGUGCUUAUACAUACUUUACUACCACCAUAGCAUUUGAAUAAAAAUCCUUUCUUCAUAUUUUUAAAGUACCUGUCCACUUCCACUUGGAAACUAAACAGCAUCAGUGGCAAGCUGGCAGUUUUAGAAAGUGGACUUCUAGAUCUAAAAUGUUUUCAUAGAUAAGCCAUCAAUGUUCUUGUUAUCUACUAUUAGCUUUUAAAACAUUUCUGAUUUCCACCAAAAAAUUUGCAUAUGGAAAUCUACAAUUAGAUUUGCUACCUGCCACCAAUUGCAGCCCUCACUUCACUAACUGAAAGAGCCCAGAAGAUCUCAUCUCCUUAGUCUAAAUUGAUCUAUUUCUUAAAUGAUUAAUUCAGGGACUCUUCUCUCAGAUGAAAGGCACUAUGUUAUAGUUCUAUUGUAUCAAUGCUCUAAAAUCCAAUUUAUGGGUCUACCUCUGAACCUCCAGUAUAUAAAAUUUUCUGCUAUCUCCAUUUCUGAUAGCUUAUUCCUAUAUUCUCUUACUCUCUUCCCUUACAUAGAUUGUUUGACUUAAUUCAACCAAAUAUGUGGUAAUAUCAAAUUAAUCUAACUCUCUGGGUUCUCAGGGAAGCAGACACUGAGAUGGCAAUGGCCACACAUGACAUUUAUUUGGAAUGGUAGCAGUGGGAGGCAGAGGAAGUAAAAGAAAUAGAUAAUCUGAACAGAUCAAUACUAGCAAUGAAAUUGAAUCAGUAAUCAAAUACUCACAACAAAUAAAAGACCAGGACCAUACAGUUUCACAG